AUUGAUUGGUUGUGUGCAGUUCUACAGCACCUUAUAGAAUUAACACCCAAAAAAUGAUGUCCUAAUCAUCAUGGGGGGAUUGGAAUGCUAAAGUAGGAAGCCAAAAGAUAACCGGAAUAACAGGCAAGUUU